UACGUAGGGUGCAAGCGUUAAUCGGAAUUACUGGGCGUAAAGCGUGCGCAGGCGGUUUUGUAAGUCUGUCGUGAAAUCCCCGGGCUCAACCUGGGAAUGGCGAUGGAGACUGCAAGGCUAGAGUUUGGCAGAGGGGGGUAGAAUUCCACGUGUAGCAGUGGAAAUGCGUAGAUAUGAUGGAGGAACACCGAUGGCGAAGGCAGCCCCCUGGGUCAAAACUGACGCUCAUGCACGAAAGCGUGGGGAGCAAACAGG
rnacentral:rRNA from 1 species